UACGUAGGGUGCAAGCGUUAAUCGGAAUUACUGGGCGUAAAGCGUGCGCAGGCGGUUUUGUAAGUCUGUCGUGAAAUCCCCGGGCUUAACCUGGGAAUGGCGAUGGAGACUGCAAGGCUAGAGUUUGGCAGAGGGGGGUAGAAUUCCACGUGUAGCAGUGAAAUGCGUAGAGAUGUGGAGGAACACCGAUGGCGAAGGCAGCCCCCUGGGUCAAAACUGACGCUCAUGCACGCAAGCGUGGGGAGCAAACAGG
rnacentral:rRNA from 1 species